rnacentral:rRNA from 1 species
CCUACGGGAGGCUGCAGUGAGGAAUAUUGGUCAAUGGGCGGGAGCCUGAACCAGCCAAGUCGCGUGAGGGAAGACGGUCCUAUGGAUUGUAAACCUCUUUAGGCGGGGAGCAAUGCCGGGCACGCGUGCCCGGAGGGAGAGUACCCUCAGAAUAAGCAUCGGCUAACUCCGUGCCAGCAGCCGCGGUAAUACGGAGGAUGCGAGCGUUAUCCGGAUUGAUUGGGUUUAAAGGGUGCGUAGGCGGAUUUUUAAGUCAGCGGUAAAAUGUCCGGGCUCAACCCGGGCCGGCCGUUGAAACUGGGGAUCUUGAGUGGGCGAGAAGUAUGCGGAAUGCGUGGUGUAGCGGUGAAAUGCAUAGAUAUCACGCAGAACUCCGAUUGCGAAGGCAGCAUACCGGCGCCCGACUGACGCUGAGGCACGAAAGCGUGGGGAUCGAACAGGAUUAGAUACCCCAGUAGUC